GGGUGAGACUCCUUGUUGGAGAAGCAGGGCACGUGCAAACCCCAUUGGCUAUGCUUCAAAUGCGAGCGAAUAAGUUYUUUGCACGUGCUCCCCCUCUCCAACACGGGUUCCUCACCU
rnacentral:pre_miRNA from 1 species